rnacentral:rRNA from 1 species
UACGGAAGGCAGCAGUGGGGAAUAUUGCACAAUGGGCGCAAGCCUGAUGCAGCCAUGCCGCGUGUAUGAAGAAGGCCUUCGGGUUGUAAAGUACUUUCAGUCGUGAGGAAGGUGUUAAGGUUAAUAACCUUAGCAAUUGACGUUAGCGACAGAAGAAGCACCGGCUAACUCCGUGCCAGCAGCCGCGGUAAUACGGAGGGUGCGAGCGUUAAUCGGAAUUACUGGGCGUAAAGGGCGCGCAGGCGGUUAAUUAAGUUGGAUGUGAAAUCCCCGGGCUUAACCUGGGAAUGGCAUUCAAGACUGGUUAGCUAGAGUCUUGUAGAGGGGGUAGAAUUCCAUGUGUAGCGGUGAAAUGCGUAGAGAUGUGGAGGAAUACCGGUGGCGAAGGCGGCCCCUGGGACAAAGACUGACGCUCAUGUGCGAAAGCGUGGGGAGCGAAACAGGGAUUAGAUACC